rnacentral:rRNA from 1 species
UGGGGAAUUUUGGACAAUGGGGGAAACCCUGAUCCAGCCAUUCCGCGUGAGUGAAGAAGGCCUUCGGGUUGUAAAGCUCUUUCAGCAGGAACGAAAAGGCCACGGCUAAUAUCUGUGGUCAAUGACGGUACCUGAAGAAGAAGCACCGGCUAACUACGUGCCAGCAGCCGCGGUAAUACGUAGGGUGCGAGCGCUAAUCGGAAUUACUGGGCGUAAAGCGUGCGCAGGUGGUUAUUUAAGACAGAUGUGA